UACGUAGGGGGCAAGCGUUGUCCGGAAUCAUUGGGCGUAAAGAGCGUGUAGGCGGCUUCACAGGUCCGCUGUGAAAACUCGAGGCUCAACCUCGAGCUGUCGGUGGAAACCGUGUGGCUAGAGUCCGGAAGAGGAGAGUGGAAUUCCCGGUGUAGCGGUGAAAUGCGCAGAUAUCAGGAGGAACACCAAUGGCGAAGGCAGCUCGCUGGGACGGUACUGACGCUGAGACGCGAAAGCGUGGGGAGCAAACAGG
rnacentral:rRNA from 1 species